UGCCUAACACAUGCAAGUCGUGCGGGAAAGCGGGGGCAACUCCGCAAGUACAGCGGCGCACGGGUGAGUAACACGUAGGUAACCUACCUUUGAGACCGGGAUAACCUGUCGAAAGACGGGCUAAUACCAGAUAAGACCACCGAGGUUGCGGCUUCGGUGGUAAAAGAUGGCCUCUGCUUGCAAGCUAUCGCUUAGAGAUGGGCCUGCGCGCCAUUAGCUAGUUGGCGGGGUAAAAGCCCACCAAGGCAAAGAUGGCUAGCUGGUCUGAGAGGAUGGCCAGCCACACUGGGACUGAGACACGGCCCAGACUCCUACGGGAGGCAGCAGUGGGGAAUAUUGCGCAAUGGGCGAAAGCCUGACGCAGCGACGCCGCGUGGGUGAUGAAGGCCUUCGGGUCGUAAAGCCC
rnacentral:rRNA from 1 species